rnacentral:misc_RNA from 1 species
GAUGAAUAACGUAGCGAAAUGCGAUACGUAGUGUGAAUUGCAGAAUUCAGUGAAUCAUCGAAUCUUUGAACGCACAUUGCGCCCGCCAGUAUUCUGGCGGGCAUGCCUGUUCGAGCGUCAUUUCAACCAUCAAGCCCCAGGCUUGUGUUGGGGACCUGCGGCUGCCGCAGGCCCUGAAAACCAGUGGCGGGCUCGCUGUCACACCGGGCGUAGUAGAUUUUAUCUCGCUCAGGGCGUGCUGCGGGUUCCGGCCGUUAAAAAGCCUUUUUUACCCAAGGUUGACCUCGGAUCAGGUAGGAAGACCCGCUGAACUUAAGCAUAUCAAUAAGCGGAGGA